rnacentral:rRNA from 1 species
GACGAACGCUGGCGGCGUGCCUAAUACAUGCAAGUCGAACGCUUCUUUCCUCCCGAGUGCUUGCACUCAAUUGGAAAGAGGAGUGGCGGACGGGUGAGUAACACGUGGGUAACCUACCCAUCAGAGGGGGAUAACACUUGGAAACAGGUGCUAAUACCGCAUAACAGUUUAUGCCGCAUGGCAUAAGAGUGAAAGGCGCUUUCGGGUGUCGCUGAUGGAUGGACCCGCGGUGCAUUAGCUAGUUGGUGAGGUAACGGCUCACCAAGGCCACGAUGCAUAGCCGACCUGAGAGGGUGAUCGGCCACACUGGGACUGAGACACGGCCCAGACUCCUACGGGAGGCAGCAGUAGGGAAUCUUCGGCAAAGGACGAAAGUCUGACCGAGCAACGCUGCGUGAGUGAAGAAGGUUUUCGGAUCGUAAAACUCUGUUGUUAGAGAAGAACAAGGACGUUAGUAACUGAACGUCCCCUGACGGUAUCUAACCAGAAAGCCACGGCUAACUACGUG